AAUGAACGCUGGCGGCGUGCCUUACACAUGCAAGUCGAACGGUAACGCGGGGCAACCUGGCGACGAGUGGCGAACGGGUGAGUAAUACAUCGGAACGUGCCCAGUAGUGGGGGAUAGCCCGGCGAAAGCCGGAUUAAUACCGCAUACGACCUACGGGUGAAAGGGGGGGAUCGCAAGACCUCUCGCUAUUGGAGCGGCCGAUGUCAGAUUAGGUAGUUGGUGGGGUAAAAGCCUACCAAGCCGACGAUCUGUAGCUGGUCUGAGAGGACGACCAGCCACACUGGGACUGGGACACGGCCCAGACUCCUACGGGAAGCAGCAGUGGGGAAUUUUGGACAAUGGGCGCAAGCCUGAUUCAGCCAUGCCGCGUGCGGGAAGAAGGCCUUCGGGUUGUAAACCGCUUUUGUCAGGGAAGAAACGCUCUGGGCUAAUACCCCGGAGUAAUGACGGUACCUGAAGAAUAAGCACCGGCUAACUACGUGCCAGCCGCCGCGGUAAAAC
rnacentral:rRNA from 1 species